rnacentral:rRNA from 1 species
UACAGAGGGUGCGAGCGUUGUUCGGAAUUAUUGGGCGUAAAGGGCGCGUAGGCGGGCGGUCAAGUCAGAGGUGAAAUCCCACGGCUCAACCGUGGAAGUGCCCCUGAUACUGAUCGCCUCGAGGGAGGUAGGGGCGUGCGGAACUUCCGGUGGAGCGGUGAAAUGCGUAGAUAUCGGAAGGAACACCGAUGGCGAAAGCAGCGCGCUGGACCUUUACUGACGCUGAGGCGCGAAAGCCAGGGGAGCAAACGGG